CUUAAGAAGGGAGCUUUACUACUGGCAUGCUUAUUAUGACAGAAGACUCCCACCAGGAAUAACAGCUUUACUAAAGUUAGAAGAAUUCGUGGCCAAGUUCAUGAGCAUGUGCAGAAAAAACUCUGGCAGUCGGAAAUAUGUGUAG